UAGAGGUUCAAAGCAUUACAGAAGCAGAUUGAAACAGAGCCCGUUUAGCUAACAAGUCAGCUUGACGGUUUUCUGAUCGUGGAACAAACGAGAAAGAGAUAGAGGCAAACGCAGAGGAGAUCUGCAUGAUAUCAAAGAUGAUACCGAAGAUCUGGUGCCUGUUUUGAAUUGCUCGGAUGAGCGUUUGACUGUCUGAGCAGAUCCUGAGAUUGGUGAUGUCGAGAUCCGCCGCUGCAAGUAGACCCGAUCGAAUUGCAAGAGCUUCGGCUAUGAGUGGAGACUUGACGUUUCCGGUGCACAGCGAUCCUUCGUGGGUGUGAAUUGAUGUCGGUGAGGAGAUGAUCCAUGCGAGACCCGCCUUCCUGGUUGUUGAGUUCCAUGAGGCAUCGGUAUUGCAUGUAGUGAUUUGUCUGGUCCUAUCAUCCCGAUGUAGUGGGGGCGCUUGUGGAGACCCCUUAUGCUUCUGAAGGAGUGUGUCUUGCGCUUGAAUCCAUUCGCGGGCGGAGGUUAAGACGUUGAGGAUUACUUCGCUUGGAAUAAGCUUCCUGUCAUCAAAAAUCAACUUGUUCUGCGCAAUCCAGAGUGACCAGCAAAGCCAAGGAAAGAUGGAGGUUAUGAUGCCUGUCGGUGGAAGACAUUUGAUUUGUCUGCUCUUCACCAGAAAUGAUUGAAAAUCAUCAGCAUCUAUUUGGACCAUCGUUGUAAUGGGGGCUUUUUGCCAUACUUCAUGCGCAAACGAGCACAAGAAAAAGGCGUGCAUUGGUGUUUCCAAUUCUCCACAUCGUGGGCAAGCUAUGUUAGAGAGUUUGUAGAGAGAGAGACCUGGCGAGGCGUGUUUGCUGCAAGAUUAUACCCUGACUUCGUAGUAUAGAUACCAGACGGCAGUGGUUGCCAUAUGUAGACGUCUUCAGCUCCCGACCUACUUGGUUGCAGUGCUUGUAUCUGAUCACUCAGCUCAGAGGUUUAGGAGAAGUUCAAAGCAGGACAUCGUGUAGGAAGGGAUGGCUGUAAGAACAGAUUGCAGCAUCGUCAGCUUCCCUGCAGUAUCGUAUAAAUACACGUAUAUCUCCUUCGAAUUCGUAUAUAACUAGACUUUAUUGCUCGUUAAUUUCGAAUUUUUGAUUGAUUAAUUUCUCUGAAAUGACUUGCUCCUAGAUUUGAUUAUCCGUACACUUGGAGAUGGAGACUAAACAAGAUGCAAAUAUUUAUUUAAAAACAAACAUCAAACUAAUGAUUUUUAAGAAUACAGUACUUGAUAAAAUACA